rnacentral:rRNA from 1 species
GUGGCUGGGGGUGAAAGGCCAAUCAAACCGGGAGAUAGCUGGUUCUCCCCGAAAGCUAUUUAGGUAGCGCCUCGUGAAUUCAUCUCCGGGGGUAGAGCACUGUUUCGGCUAGGGGGCCAUCCCGGCUUACCAACCCGAUGCAAACUGCGAAUACCGGAGAAUGUUAUCACGGGAGACACACGGCGGGUGCUAACGUCCGUCGUGAAGAGGGAAACAACCCAGACCGCCAGCUAAGGUCCCAAAGUCAUGGUUAAGUGGGAAACGAUGUGGGAAGGCCCAGACAGCCAGGAUGUUGGCUUAGAAGCAGCCAUCAUUUAAAGAAAGCGUAAUAGCUCACUGGUCGAGUCGGCCUGCGCGGAAGAUGUAACGGGGCUAAACCAUGCACCGAAGCUGCGGCAGCGAACGUAUCACCCAAGACAACUUUACGGAGUUGACGAUUGACGGAGCGAAGCGACGUCAAAGCGUUCAUUAAAGUCGAGUUGGCUUAGGGAUACGUUCGUUGGGUAGGGGAGCGUUCUGUAAGCCUGUGAAGGUGUGUCGUGAGGCAUGCUGGAGGUAUCAGAAGUGCGAAUGCUGACAUAAGUAACGAUAAAGCGGGUGAAAAGCCCGCUCGCCGGAAGACCAAGGGUUCCUGUCCAACGUUAAUCGGGGCAGGGUGAGUCGACCCCUAAGGCGAGGCCGAAAGGCGUAGUCGAUGGGAAACGGGUUAAUAUUCCCGUACUUGGUGUUACUGCGAAGGGGGGACGGAGAAGGCUAUGUUGGCCGGGCGACGGUUGUCCCGGUUUAAGCGUGUAGGUGUGUGUUCCAGGUAAAUCCGGUU